UACGGAAGGCAGCAGUGGGGAAUAUUGCACAAUGGGCGCAAGCCUGAUGCAGCCAUGCCGCGUGUAUGAAGAAGGGCCUUCGGGUUGUAAAGUACUUUCAGCGGGGAGGAAGGCGAUGUGGUUAAUAACCGCGUCGAUUGACGUUACCCGCAGAAGAAGCACCGGCUAACUCCGUGCCAGCAGCCGCGGUAAUACGGAGGGUGCAAGCGUUAAUCGGAAUUACUGGGCGUAAAGCGCACGCAGGCGGUCUGUUAAGUCAGAUGUGAAAUCCCCGGGCUUAACCUGGGAACUGCAUUUUGAAACUGGCAGGCUUGAGUCUCGUAGAGGGGGUAGAAUUCCAGGUGUAGCGGUGAAAUGCGUAGAGAUCUGGAGGAAUACCGGUGGCGAAGGCGGCCCCUGGACGAGACUGACGCUCAGGUGCGAAAGCGUGGGGAGCAAACAGGGAUUAGGAUACC
rnacentral:rRNA from 1 species